ACCUGCGGAAGGAUCAUUACCGAGUGAGGGCCCUCUGGGUCCAACCUCCCACCCGUGUUUAUUUUACCUUGUUGCUUCGGCGGGCCCGCCUUAACUGGCCGCCGGGGGGCUUACGCCCCCGGGCCCGCGCCCGCCGAAGACACCCUCGAACUCUGUCUGAAGAUUGUAGUCUGAGUGAAAAUAUAAAUUAUUUAAAACUUUCAACAACGGAUCUCUUGGUUCCGGCAUCGAUGAAGAACGCAGCGAAAUGCGAUACGUAAUGUGAAUUGCAAAUUCAGUGAAUCAUCGAGUCUUUGAACGCACAUUGCGCCCCCUGGUAUUCCGGGGGGCAUGCCUGUCCGAGCGUCAUUGCUGCCCUCAAGCACGGCUUGUGUGUUGGGCCCCGUCCUCCGAUCCCGGGGGACGGGCCCGAAAGGCAGCGGCGGCACCGCGUCCGGUCCUCGAGCGUAUGGGGCUUUGUCACCCGCUCUGUAGGCCCGGCCGGCGCUUGCCGAUCAACCCAAAUUUUAUCCA
rnacentral:rRNA from 1 species